rnacentral:snRNA from 1 species
GUCUCUUUGGUGACACCAGACGAUACAGAGAAGAUUAGCAUGGCCUCUGCACAAGAAAUGGUCAUCUAUCUUGCUAGCUUUUUCUUUUCGUU